GACGAACGCUGGCGGCGUGCUUAACACAUGCAAGUCGAGCGGUAAGGCCCUUUCGGGGGUACACGAGCGGCGAACGGGUGAGUAACACGUGGGUGACCUGCCCUUAGCUCUGGGAUAAGCCUGGGAAACUGGGUCUAAUACCGGAUAUGACUCCAUGACGCAUGUUGUGGGGUGGAAAGCCUUGUGCGGCUAGGGAUGGGCCCGCGGCCUAUCAGCUUGUUGGUGGGGUGAUGGCCACCAAGGCGACGACGGGUAGCCGGCCUGAGAGGGCGACCGGCCACACUGGGACUGAGGCACGGCCCAGACUCCUACGGGAGGCAGCAGUGGGGAAUCUUGCGCAAUGGGCGAAAGCCUGACGCAGCGACGCCGCGUGGGGAUGACGGCCUC
rnacentral:rRNA from 1 species